rnacentral:rRNA from 1 species
AGUGGCGGACGGGUGAGUAACGCGUGAGAAUCUGCCUUCAGGAUGGGGACAACAGCGGGAAACUGCUGCUAAUACCCAAUGUGCCGAGAGGUGAAAGUAAUUCGCCUGAAGAGGAGCUCGCGUCUGAUUAGCUAGUUGGUAGAGUAAAAGCCUACCAAGGCAACGAUCAGUAGCUGGUCUGAGAGGAUGAGCAGCCACACUGGGACUGAGACACGGCCCAGACUCCUACGGGAGGCAGCAGUGGGGAAUUUUCCGCAAUGGGCGAAAGCCUGACGGAGCAAUACCGCGUGAGGGAGGAAGGUUCAAGUAAUUGUAAACCUCUUUUAUCAGGGAAGAAAAAAAUGACGGUACCUGAUGAAAAAGCAUCGGCUAACUCCGUGCCAGCAGCCGCGGUAAUACGGAGGAUGCAAGCGUUAUCCGGAAUUAUUGGGCGUAAAGCGUCCGCAGGUGGUAGGACAAGUCUGCUGUCAAAGACCAGAGCUUAACUCUGGGCAGGCGGUGGAAACUGUAAUACUAGAGACCGGUAGGGGUAGAGGGAAUUCCCAGUGUAGCGGUGAAAUGCGUAGAGAUUGGGAAGAACACCAGUGGCGAAGGCGCUCUACUGGGCCGGAACUGACACUAAGGGACGAAAGCUAGGGUAGCGAAAGGGAUUAGAUACCCCUGUAGUCCUAGCCGUAAACGAUGGAUACUAGG